GGGGAAUAUUGCACAAUGGAGGAAACUCUGAUGCAGCAACGCCGCGUGAGUGAUGAAGGUCUUCGGAUUGUAAAACUCUGUCUUAUGGGACGAUAAUGACGGUACCAUAGGAGGAAGCCACGGCUAACUACGUGCCAGCAGCCGCGGUAAUACGUAGGUGGCAAGCGUUGUCCGGAUUUACUGGGCGUAAAGGGUGCGUAGGCGGAUGUUUAAGUGAGAUGUGAAAUACCCGGGCUUAACUUGGGUGCUGCAUUUCAAACUGGAUAUCUAGAGUGCAGGAGAGGAGAAUGGAAUUCCUAGUGUAGCGGUGAAAUGCGUAGAGAUUAGGAAGAAUACCAGUGGCGAAGGCGGCUUUCUGGACUGUAACUGACGCUGAGGCAUGAAAGCGUGGGGAGCAAAC
rnacentral:rRNA from 1 species